UCUGCCGUCUGCCAAAAUGGCAUGUCCGUUUAUUAACGAUCCAGUAGAUGAAGGAGCAGCGUUACUGCGCACAGAAUUAAAUAUUCGUCGGGAGAUUGUUUUCAGACCGGGCAUAGAUGUUUUGGCAUUUCCGGACAGUUAUCUUUUUGAACGGUACCGUUUCACAUCACAAUCCAAAACCUACAUCCACAACCUAAUCCGUCCUUACAUUUACAACUUUACCAACCGCAGUCAUGGUCUAACGUCCCAGCAGAUAUUGUGUGUUGCGCUGCGGUUCUUUGCAAAUGGGAGUUUUUUAUACAACAUCGGAGAUGCAGAACACCUCAGUAAGGCCACUGUAUGCAGGACGGUCAGAAAAGUGUGUCUGGCCCUGAAACGACUUUUACCAUCUUUGUCGUUUUCCCUGGACAUAAACCUGUCAGAGCCAUCAAGGAGGAGUUCCACAGGAUUGCAGGAUUUCCCAGUGUGAUUGGCUGCAUUGAUGGCACACACAUCCCCAUCACAGCUCCCUCACAUAAUGAAGCUGAUUAUGUGAAUAGGAAGUCCAUUCACAGUAUAAAUGUGCAGGUAGGUUAGAGGUAGAUUGACUACGGUUUCAAAAUGUUAAAGACUGCAUCAUAGUUCAACAUCUGUCAUUCUCUGCACUGUCAAGAUCAUAUGUGAUGCUGCACACAUCAUUUCUAAUGUAGUGGCCUGGGUCUGUUCAUGACUCGAGGAUUUUUCGAGAGUCUAACCUGAGCAACAGACUGCAGCGUGGAGAGUUUGAUGGCCUUCUGCUGGGUGACAGGGGUUACCAUGCCAACCCAGGCUGAUGACCCCAUACCCUGACCCUGAACCAGGCCCCUAACAGAACUUCAACCGGGCUCACUGUAGGAUGAGAGCCUGGGUGGAGAUGACCAUAGACCUGCUGAAAGCCCGUUUCCAGUGUCUACAUCACCUCAGGGUGACUCCUGAGAGGGCCUGUGAUAUUAUUGUGGCAUGUGUUGUUCUUCAUAAUAUUACCACUAUUAGAGGAGAGCAACACUCUGCCCUACAAACUGAAGACCCAGAUGAUGACCUCAUCCACCUGCCAGCUAUCCAGGACAGCAGAGCAGUCAGAGACACCAUAUGCCAUAAUCACUUUAGAGUUUAAGUCACCAUCAUCACCACCACAGCAGUGAAAUAAACACAUGACAUACAUUUCAUUUGGUCUUCUUUAUUUCCUACAAAUAAAAGAGCUAGUUUAGUUCAUGUUCCAGUAGUUAACAUAAUUCACCUGUGACCUGCACCCACCUCUAACUUGUGCUCCAGUAUUUCAAUUUCCAGAUCUGCCUUCUUAAUCUGGUGGUCCAAGUACUGCAUUUCUUUAUCUGUUUUUUGUAUUUUUCUCAGCAAGUGGAUUUUGUAUAUUUGUUUUACUGGUAACUGGGAAUACAUAAAGGACAUUAAAUUAUACAGUUGCACAUGAA